UACAGAGGUCUCAAGCGUUGUUCGGAUUCAUUGGGCGUAAAGGGUGCGUAGGUGGCGUAGAAAGUUGAGUGUGAAAUCCUGGGGCUUAACCUCAGAACUGCACUCAAUACUCCCACGCUUGAGGAAUGUAGAGGAGAGUGGAAUUCACGGUGUAGCAGUGAAAUGCGUAGAUAUCGUGAGGAAGACCAGUUGCGAAGGCGACUCUCUGGGCAUUUCCUGACACUGAGGCACGAAGGCCAGGGGAGCAAACGGG
rnacentral:rRNA from 1 species